AUACACAAUCGUCAUGUAAAAAGAUGAAAUUCAGGUAUAAUUCCUUGUCUCAACAGCUGAAUCGAAGACAAUCUAUUUUCGAAGUUCCGAGUUUUGCUCAAAUGAUUCCUGUAUGCAGUCUUCUUAUAGGAUUCUUGGUCUGCUUCCAAACACAAGAAACUAACACAUACAUGAAAUUAUAAUGAUAAAUGAUAAUUCGUCGAAGCCAAAC
rnacentral:lncRNA from 1 species